UGGGGAAUAUUGCACAAUGGGCGCAAGCCUGAUGCAGCCAUGUCGCGUGUGUGAAGAAGGCCUUCGGGUUGUAAAGCACUUUCAGCGGGGAGGAAGGCGGUGAGGUUAAUAACCUCAUCGAUUGACGUUACCCGCAGAAGAAGCACCGGCUAACUCCGUGCCAGCAGCCGCGGUAAUACGGAGGGUGCAAGCGUUAAUCGGAAUUACUGGGCGUAAAGCGCACGCAGGCGGUUUGUUAAGUCAGAUGUGAAAUCCCCGGGCUCAACCUGGGAACUGCAUCUGAUACUGGCAAGCUUGAGUCUCGUAGAGGGGGGUAGAAUUCCAGGUGUAGCGGUGAAAUGCGUAGAGAUCUGGAGGAAUACCGGUGGCGAAGGCGGCCCCCUGGACGAAGACUGACGCUCAGGUGCGAAAGCGUGGGGAGCAAACAGG
rnacentral:rRNA from 1 species